rnacentral:rRNA from 1 species
UACGUAGGGGGCUAGCGUUGUCCGGAAUCGAUUGGCGUAAAGCGCGUGUAGGCGGUCCGGUAAGUCCGCUGUGAAAGUCGAGGGCUCAACCCUCGAAUGCCGGUGGAUACUGUCGGGCUUGAGUACGGAAGAGGCGAGUGGAAUUCCUGGUGUAGCGGUGGAAUGCGCAGAUAUCAGGAGGAACACCAAUAGCGAAGGCAGCUCGCUGGGACGUUACUGACACUGAGGCGCGAAAGCGUGGGGAGCGAACAGG